CUUUACUGUAGCCUGGUAUUGGGUUCGGGCUUUGACUGCGCAGGAUAGGUGGGAGACUAUGAAGCUGCCCUUGUGGGGCAGUGGAGUCAUCAGUGAGAUACCACUCUGUCAAGGCUAGAAUUCUAACCGUCUGCCGUUAUCCGGCGACGGAACAGUAUCAGGUGGGCAGUUUGACUGGGGCGGUCGCCUCCUAAAUGGUAACGGAGGCGCGCAAAGGUUCCCUCAGGCUGGUUGGAAAUCAGCCGAAGAGUGUAAAGGCAGAAGGGAGCUUGACUGCAAGAGCAACAACUCAAGCAGGGACGAAAGUCAGCCUUAGUGACCCGACGGCGCUGAGUGGAAGGGCCGUCGCUCAACGGAUAAAAGUUA
rnacentral:rRNA from 1 species